rnacentral:rRNA from 1 species
AACUAACGCUGGCGGCGUGCCUAACACAUGCAAGUCGUACGAGAAAGCCGGCUUCGGCUGGUGAGUAAAGUGGCGCACGGGUGAGUAACGCGUGGAUAAUCUGCCCCUAAGUGUGGAAUAACGUACCGAAAGGUGCGCUAAUACCGCAUAAUGCCUGGCAACACAAGUUGUCCGGCCAAAGAAGGCCUCUGUUUACAAGCUUUCGCUUCAGGAUGAGUCCGCGUACCAUUAGCUUGUUGGUGGGGUAAUGGCCUACCAAGGCUGCGAUGGUUAGCUGGUCUGAGAGGAUGAUCAGCCACACUGGAACUGAGACACGGUCCAGACUCCUACGGGAGGCAGCAGUGAGGAAUAUUGCGCAAUGGGGCAACCCUGACGCAGCAACGCCGCGUGAGUGAGGAAGGUUUUCGGACUGUAAAGCUCUGUCGAGCGGGAAGAAGUGUACCAUGGCUAAUAUCCAUGAUAUUUGACGGUACCGCUAGAGG